AAUCAUUCACGGACAACACUU
rnacentral:ncRNA from 8 species